rfam:Nippostrongylus brasiliensis genome assembly, scaffold: NBR_scaffold0003144
GUCUCAGUAGGGUAGUGGUUAACGCCCGGCCCCAGUUAGGCGCGAGGCGCGGGUUCGAAUCCGGCCUGAGAUG